GCUCCUAUGGCCUCAGUGGUUUUAGAGCGUCCGCCUCGGAUGCGGGAGGUCGUGGGUUCGAUCCCUUGCCGAGCC